UUGUAAAUCAUUUGUAUUUUUGUUUGUAUAAUAUGUUCUAAUUUAUUGAUUUGUAUAUUUUAUGUUUAUCAACACUAAAAUAUAUUUCAUACUAUUUUAUACUUUAUAAGUUCAUACUAUGUACUAUAUGGUAAAUAAGUGUUGGAUGUAGACUUUGUUACGUAAUAAGAUUAUAAUUUUUUGUGCUUUAUUUGUGUCCAUAACUACAAUCAACGACGUCAUCCAUUGUCUUUCUUUUCACCGGGUACUUGUUAAAGAAAAAGGUAUAACUGGUUCAAAUAAGGGCAAAAAGUUAGUAAGUUAAUAAUGUCAAAAUCAGUGUCAUUUUCUUCAUUUUCAUU
rnacentral:lncRNA from 1 species